rnacentral:rRNA from 1 species
CACGUAGGAGACGAGCGUUAUCCGGAUUUAUUGGGCGUAAAGAGCAUGUAGGCGGGCUCUUAAGUCGGACGUGAAAUCUCUUGGCUUAACCGGGAGGGGUCGUUCGAUACUGGGAGUCUUGAGGGCAGGAGAGGGAAGUAGAAUUCCCGGUGUAGUGGUGGAAUACGUAGAUAUCGGGAGGAAUACCAGUGGCGAAGGCGGCUUCCUGGCCUGUGCCUGACGCUGAGAUGCGAAAGCGUGGGUAGCAAACGGG